rnacentral:rRNA from 1 species
CCGACCCUCAGACAGGCGAGGCCCCGGGUAGGACCCGAGGCCGCAAUGUGCGUUCGAAAAAUCAGUGCUCAAUGUGUCCUGCAAUUCACACCAAAUCUCGCAGCUG